AAACUCCUGCCAUUCAUACUCUUCUAGCAGUAGAAAAAGUACCACUACUUGGCUAGUACCCAGCCACAUAUUUCCCAUUCUAGAGACAACUAUGGGACUUUACUGAGAGUGUCUUUUUUUUUAGUCAGACUAGGAAAGUUAACAGUUUUAAUGGCUUUUUUAAGUCAUAAAGUAUUUAUGAAGUACCCAUUAUGAGCAGAACUUUUUAAAAUUAAGAAUUGCUAAAGAAAUUAGAAGAUACAGUCAGCCCGUGAGGAUUUUACAAUUUAUUUAGGACAGAAGAUACUCAUAUUAUUAGAGAAUGCUAUAGGAAUUCAAAUUAAGAAUUCAGUUUCCUGGAAAGGAUGAUUGAUCAGAGGAACUAUCAUGAGGAAGAGUCUAGAACUGAGUCUUGAAGAAAAUGGAGAGUGGCAUUGACAGAGAAGAGGAAGAAAGACUUACUAGGGAGGGCGAACUACACCCAACAAAGGCACAGCAAGGAGAAAGUUCACCAAGGGCCAGAGCCACACAGGGAGGACGAGGAAUUCCUGGAGGAGGGAGGCUGUGUGUGUUUAUUGCCCUGUCAGCCCUUCACGACAAAAGACAAAAGUUGCUGUAACUUGUGUGUUCCCACACACAUGAUCCAUAUGGACAAUAUCGAGUAUAGGUGCUGAUGAAGGGGGAAGAAAGGAUGACCAGAAAUCAAGAUGCCGGCUGCCUUGUGGGAAACAUGGAGAAAUGCUCUAACAGUGAGCCUCUGACUAAACACCACAAUUCCAGAGCUGGGAGGAAUUCUGAGACGUUCUUCACACCAGAGGGAAAAAGAACCACCAGCUCUUGACUGACUAAGGCCUUGUGUUGCCUUGGACCUUGGGCCUAAUUUUUUUCUUUUCAAGCUUAAAGGUUUCUGUUGCCUUUGCAGGAGAAUCUAGGUUUUACUCCUACAGCAAUAUGUAUUGCGGGGGACCAUGCUUUCCUUUUUUCUCAGCACAUUUAUUAUAGCUUAGUUUCCACACAGUUCUUCGCUAUGCGUGCAUUAUCAGGGCCAAUUCUAGUUCAUCUCCUCAGUGUCAGACUGAAACCACCUAAAAUAUG
rnacentral:lncRNA from 1 species